ensembl:lncRNA
UCUUGCUCUUUCAAUUGAGAGGAAUUCCUUUGCUUUUUCAUUUUAUUUAACUUUCUCUGUCUCUACUAGUUUAGGCGAAACUGUUACCUAUUGUGUUCUUGAGGCAGUGAGUUGUGUGGGAGCAUCCUCAUGUAUACCGAGUGCCCUCCCAUUUGGUGGGAGAAGUGGAUUUGGUGAGGAUGCCAGUCACAUCUUUCCUCAAGCACUUGGCAGGCAAGCCAGCAUCUACCUUACGAGUGGAGUUAAAGCUGCUUCAGCCACUCUUAACCCCAAAUCUUCUCCAACAAGCCUAGGGGGCUUGCAUCCUCCAUGUAGAACCCCUGGGCUGGGACACCUGGACUGUGGCACAACCUUCUCAUGUCCCAGG